rnacentral:rRNA from 1 species
UGAGGAAUAUUGGUCAAUGGACGCAAGUCUGAACCAGCCAUGCCGCGUGAAGGAUGAAGGCGUUCUGCGUUGUAAACUUCUUUUAUUGGGGAAGAAACCUGGAUUUUCUAAUUCAGCCGACGGUACCCAAGGAAUAAGCACCGGCUAACUCCGUGCCAGCAGCCGCGGUAAUACGGAGGGUGCAAGCGUUAUCCGGAUUUACUGGGUUUAAAGGGUGUGUAGGCGGACUUUUAAGUCAGGGGUGAAAUCCCGAGGCUCAACCUCGGAACUGCCUUUGAUACUAUUGGUCUUGAAUGUUGUUGAGGUGGGCGGAACGGGUCAUGUAGCGGUGAAAUGCAUAGAUAUGACCCGGAACACCGAUUGCGAAGGCAGCCCGCUAAGCAACUAUUGACGCUGAGGCACGAAAGCGUGGGGAUCAAACAGGAUUAGAUACCCUGGUAGUCCACGCCCUAAACGAUGAUUACUCGACGUUGGCGAUACACUGAUCAGCGUCCAAGCGAAAGCAUUAAGUAAUCCA